AUGAACACUUCUCCAGCUUUUGUGAGUGUGAUACUGUUCAUGCUUGGCAGGACCCAUGGAGACUCAGUGACCCAGACACAAGGUCAAGUGACCCUCUCAGAAGGCGACUUCCUAUUUAUAAACUGCACUUAUUCAGCCACAGGAUAUCCAACUCUUUUGUGGUAUGUCCAAUAUCUUGGAGAAGGUCCCCAGCUCCUUUUGCAAGUCACAACAGCCAACAACAAGGGAAGCAGCAGAGGGUUUGAAGCCACAUAUGACAAAGGAGCCACCUCCUUCCACCUGCAGAAAGCCUCGGUGCAAGAGUCAGACUCGGCUGUGUACUACUGUGUUGUGAGAGACACAGUGGCAGACACUGCAGGGGGAGUGGAACAAAAACCCCGAGAAAUGAAAGAAAGCCUGGUUUCUGAUCAUCUGCAUUUUGGAUCCCCCUAA